CCUACGGGGGGCUGCAGUGGGGAAUAUUGGACAAUGGGCGAAAGCCUGAUCCAGCCAUGCCGCGUGUGUGAAGAAGGCCUUCGGGUUGUAAAGCACUUUCAGUGGGGAAGAAAGCCUUGGGGCUAAUACCCUCGAGGAAGGACAUCACCCACAGAAGAAGCACCGGCUAACUCCGUGCCAGCAGCCGCGGUAAUACGGAGGGGUGCGAGCGUUAAUCGGAAUUACUGGGCGUAAAGCGCGCGUAGGCGGUCUGAUAAGCCGGUUGUGAAAGCCCCGGGCUCAACCUGGGAACGGCAUCCGGAACUGUCAGGCUAGAGUGCAGGAGAGGAAGGUAGAAUUCCCGGUGUAGCGGUGAAAUGCGUAGAGAUCGGGAGGAAUACCAGUGGCGAAGGCGGCCUUCUGGACUGACACUGACGCUGAGGUGCGAAAGCGUGGGUAGCAAACAGGAUUAGAUACCCCUGUAGUC
rnacentral:rRNA from 1 species